UCGCAAGACCUUGCGCUUUUGGAGCGGCCGAUGUCUGAUUAGCUAGUUGGUGAGGUAAAGGCUUACCAAGGCGUCGAUCAGUAGCUGGUCUGAGAGGACGACCAGCCACACUGGGACUGAGACACGGCCCAGACUCCUACGGGAGGCAGCAGUGGGGAAUUUUGGACAAUGGGGGAAACCCUGAUCCAGCCAUGCCGCGUGAGUGAAGAAGGCCUUCGGGUUGUAAAGCUCUUUCAGCCGGAACGAAACGGUCACGGUUAAUACCCGUGACUACUGACGGUACCGGAAGAAGAAGCACCGGCUAACUACGUGCCAGCAGCCGCGGUAAUACGUAGGGUGCAAGCGUUAAUCGGAAUUACUGGGCGUAAAGCGUGCGCAGGCGGUUUUGUAAGUCAGAUGUGAAAUCCCCGGGCUUAACCUGGGAACUGCGUUUGAAACUACAA
rnacentral:rRNA from 1 species